ACUGAACGCUGGCGGCAGGCAUAACACAUGCAAGUCGAGCGGGGGAGGGUAGCUUGCUACCGGACCUAGCGGCGGACGGGUGCGUAAUGCUUAGGAAUCUGCCUAUUAGUGGGGGACAACAUUUCGAAAGGGAUGCUAAUACCGCAUACGUCCUACGGGAGAAAGCAUGGGAUCUUCGGACCUUGCGCUAAUAGAUGAGCCUAAGUCGGAUUAGCUAGUUGGGGGGGUAAAGGCCUACCAAGGCGACGAUCUGUAGCGGGUCUGAGGGGAGGGUCCGCCACACAGGGACUGAGACACGGCCCAGACUCCGACGGGAGGGAGCAGUAGGGAAUAUUGGACAAUGGGGGGAACCCUGAUCCAGCCAUGCCGCGUGUGUGAAGAAGGCCUUAUGGUUGUAAAGCACUUUAAGCGAGGAGGAGGCUACUCUAGUUAAUACCUAGGGAUAGUGGACGUUACUCGCAGAAUAAGCACCGGCUAACUCUGUGCCAGCAGCCGCGGUAA
rnacentral:rRNA from 1 species